CCGCGCAGCGGGGGGUGCGACCCGAGCGCGGUCUGUAUGCGCUCGCGUCGCUCGGUGAGCUCAGCGAGACCAGUUUAAGCAGUGCUGCAGAGGAGAAGAUCAUGGAUGCAAGAAGAUGCCUCAUUUCAGAACACCCAAACAUGAAGAUUUUAUGAACGUCAUUGGGGAUCCUUUGCUGGAGCUGUUGUGUGCUGCCCGCUGCAGCGCAGCCCUCUGUGACCCCUUGCCUCCAAGGAUGGAAUCUGAGAGCUGGCGUGCAGGAGGAAUGGAUCUCGUCUGUCUGCUGUGA
rnacentral:lncRNA from 1 species